rnacentral:rRNA from 1 species
UACGUAGGGUGCAAGCGUUGUCCGGAAUUAUUGGGCGUAAAGAGCUCGUAGGCGGUUUGUUGCGUCGGCUGUGAAAACCCGAGGCUCAACCUCAGGCCUGCAGUCGAUACGAGCAGACUAGAGUGUUGCAGGGGAGACUGGAAUUCCUGGUGUAGCGGUGAAAUGCGCAGAUAUCAGGAGGAACACCGGUGGCGAAGGCGGGUCUCUGGGCAACAACUGACGCUGAGGAGCGAAAGCGUGGGGAGCGAACAGG